UACGAAGGGGGCUAGCGUUGUUCGGAAUUACUGGGCGUAAAGCGCGCGCAGGCAGUUUUUCAAGUCAGUGGUGAAAGCCCGGAGCUCAACUCCGGAAAUGCCAUUGAAACUGUAAAACUUGAGGACGAGAGAGGUGAGUGGAAUUCCCAGUGUAGAGGUGAAAUUCGUAGAUAUUGGGAAGAACACCGGUGGCGAAGGCGGCUCACUGGCUCGUUUCUGACGCUCAGGCGCGAUAGCGUGGGGAUCAAACAGG
rnacentral:rRNA from 1 species